AACCCAUUUCCCAGGAAGAAAAGCCAAGGGUUAGAGGAGCCAAGAUCCCAAGGAUCACGCAGCCAACUCUGGCAUCUGAGACGGAUCUUCACCCUUCAAGACUGGCAUCGUUUCCACUGUACUCUGCCCUCCUCCAGCCGCAUUAGUCAAUUAUUCUUUGCCCUGACUAGAAGAAGUACCCCAAAGACAGGAAGAGAUUAAUUUCCCCUGAAGAUUGCCGGGCUCCACUCAGGGAACUUGGUUAUUGAGAAAAGAAUUAGAUAUUUGUCAGCAGGAGACAACAGCUUGUAGGGAAUGUGAUAAACUCAGCCGAGAGCCCGCCAAGGGUGACGGCCCAAAGCUGGUGACAGCAUGGGCCUUUUGGAUCUUGCGUAAGAAAACUACAGCUAGUGUUUGUCUAGCAUUUUACAGAUGGCAAAGUCCUUCCUGAGGCUUUGUCUCGUUUGACUCCAACAGCCCUGUGCUCUGAGGUGACUUCCUAUGUCAACGCAGUCACUAUGGGAAAUUGAGGCUUAGAGAAAUCCAGCUGGCAAUAAUGGGAGUGAAGACAGUGAGGAGGAAGAGGAGACGAGAAAAGCAGAAAAAAGAGGAGCCCUACACAGAUCGAACUUUCGGAAUGCUGACUGUUGAUUCAUUCCUGUCAUCCCUCUAAGUGGUCGUGUGCUCUUGCAUUGUCUGAGAAAGACGACACAGGUGUGACUGGGACCUCAGGGCAUCCUGACCGGGUGCUCCCUGACCCUGCUGUAGUGUUCAGAGCUCAUCAAAGCGUUGCCUCCUGUCUAGAGGCAGCCUCUGGGGAAGUGGCCGCAAGGGGGACCACGUCCAGUUAUUUCCUGUUUGUAUCAAGAAGGUGGCAUUCGCUAUACUGUUUUUGGAAAGAACAGAUAUGUAUGUCCAGGUGCUUUACAAAUAAAAAGGUCUGUCUAUAUCUUUGUGGUUCAUAAUAGCUACCUAAGAUUGAAUUCACUUCCAUGGACCACAGCAUCAAAAUAAUUUUGUGUGUGCUUGAACGGCUGACAACAAUGUAUUUGUAGUCAUCAGCCAGGCGUGUGGGAGAUGACACCAGAGAAGAGGACGGAAGAGAAAUGCUGUGAUGUCUUUAAGAAUUUGGUGCUAGUUGUAGAUUUAUUCAGUUGACAGGGAACCGCGCUCACCUCUGCUGACCUAAGAGAGCCGCCCCUGGGAUUAUGGAAAGUUGUCGCAGAAAUAUUGCAUUCUCUUAGCCAUGGGAGCUGCAUCAGCAUUUUAGAAGAUUGCUGAACUCAACUAUUUAGAGAGCCCUACAUCUUCUCCCCGACAGGACACCAGAGCAGCGGGGAGGAUGAGAGGGAAAGAGACGGCUCAGGAAGGAGCGUGGUGAUUUAAACGGAUCUCCUGUUCACUUUGAAAACGGGUGUCAAGCAGGCAGCUGGGAGUCGGGAUACUGUUCCAGCCGAGUCUUCUAGACUUGGGCAAUUGCUGUGUUCCUGACGAUUUGUGUGCCUGGAAGAGUUUUGUAAAACAGCCAUUUCAAGCCCCUUGGGAAGACCCUCUGGAAGUGUCUUUUGGGAUCAGGAUCCUUUGGGGACGGCAGCUUUAGAUGUUUCAUACAUUUGAAGUUUUAGGAUUUGGAUUGUUUUUGAAAGAUGAACAAGACUCACAAAAAUAUUUUGAGUUUCACUAGCAAUUUCUUAAAUGCUGGUUUGAUCAUAUUAGACAAAUGUGUAAGACCUUGCCAAGUAUUGCAAAGCUCAUUGGAAAUUAAUUCAAUUAAAGUAACCUGGACAG